UAGAAUUGGAAGACGAGAAAA
rnacentral:piRNA from 1 species